GUGUCAGCAGCCGCGGUAAUACGUAGGGGCCGAGCGUUGUCCGGAGUUACUGGGCGUAAAGCGCGCGCAGGUGGCCCAUUACGCCCGGCGUGAAAGCCCCCGGCUCAACCGGGGAGGGUCGUCGGGUACGGGUGGGCUUGAGGGCAUCAGGGGCUGGUGGAAUUCCCGGUGUAGUGGUGAAAUGCGUAGAGAUCGGGAGGAACACCCGUGGCGAAGGCGGCCAGCUGGGGUGCACCUGACACUGAGGCGCGAAGGCGUGGGGAGCGAACGGGAUUAGAUACCCCGGUAGUCC
rnacentral:rRNA from 1 species